CACCAAGCUGCAUCAGACCUCCACAGUGGGCCAAAAGAAUAUGGACAAGUCCCAAACAGGAUCUGCUACACUCUACUACAGAGAGCAAGAAGCAGAGGGCCGGGGGAAGAACAUACACGCCGGAAGUUCACUGCAGGCACGCUGGAUGAAUAACAAUCGUUUCAGACACCGGGAAUGGUCCAAAUCCACUCCUACGCUGCCUCCACCCGAACAGGGCAAGAUAGAGAGCUUGACGGUCUUAAGCAUCUACAGCUGAGUGAGAAUAG
rnacentral:lncRNA from 1 species